GCCUUCCCCCACACUAAAACUCUCACAUACGCAGAGGAACUCCAAAACCCUAGCUCUUCUUAUUUAUAUCUCCGCGUUUCUUUUAGAUUCUGUUUGGAUGCUUUGAAUCGCUUGAUAUUUUUGGACUUCGGUUCGCUGAUAUGGAAGAUAAAGAGGGGAGCAAUCCUGGAGCUGAGUUUACAUCGGAGUCGAGCUGGACACUUUCCGAGGGAGGACCUGACUCGGUGUCCAACAGUGUUAAUUACUUCUUCGACGGGGAGAGUAAUAUUCUCGGUGAAUUCGGCUGGGAUCUACCGCCGGACCAUGCCGAUGAGUUUCGACGGUUCACUGAACUAGAUCGGCCUGAAUUGGCGGGAAACUUUAGCGACUCACAAAACUGCGCUGCAGCUGAUGAUGUUGCUCGUUGUUCAGUUUCGGGGACGGCUUUGCAUCCGGGUGGGUCAGCUGAUGUGUCGACGUCGAAUCCGUCAGGGUAUUCGAGCUCCAGCGAGGAUCUGCUGGAGAAAUCUACUGGCUCCGGCGCAAAACCGCCCGAGAUACCGUGUAAGGUGAGGAAGAAGGGGCAAAAACGAAUACGGCAGCCACGUUUUGCAUUUAUGACCAAGAGUGAGGUUGAUCAUCUUGAAGACGGCUAUCGAUGGCGGAAAUAUGGACAAAAAGCUGUUAAAAACAGUCCAUUUCCUCGGAGCUACUAUCGCUGUACAAACAGCAAAUGCACAGUGAAGAAGAGGGUAGAACGCUCUUCUGAAGAUCCUACCAUUGUCAUUACUACAUAUGAAGGUCAACACUGUCAUCACAGUGUAGCAUUCCCCAGAGGGGGACUCAUGAGCCGUGAAGCUGCCUUUGGUGGUCACUUGACACCAGCAGUCUCACAAUUUUAUAAUCGAGGACUACAGUUACAUAGGGAAAUUCCUUCAAGCAUAACACAAUCACAGUCACAGGCACGCGAAGCACCCAUUGACGUCAGAGAAUCUCGUCCGGUGCCCGAACCCACCGCCUCAAAGUCUCCUACGGAUGAAGGUUUACUCGGUGAUAUCGUCCCUCCUGGAAUGCGUAACAGAUGAGAAAGAAAAUAUGGGAGUACAAUAUCUUAUAAUUCUGGAUACAGUCAUGGUCUGCACUCUACAUGAUUAUGCCAACCGAUCAUGAUAGGACUCGAACUAUAUAACUUUCGGUUUUAUCAUGUGGGCGAAAAGAACAAAAAGCACGUGACAGUUUGCCGACAAAAGCAAAAAAUAGUCCUGUUAUUGAUUAGUACAAGCUGAAGAGCAGGCACGCCAUGCAUGCAAGGAGAUUUUUAAUCAAGAUGGAAGCGAGAACUUAACCAGUUUAACACAAUUCCAUGUAGAAUAUCAUAACACAAACUCAGCUAUAAUGGCUAUUAAUGCUUCUGAUCAGUUCAUAGUCUUACGCCCA